GUUUUUCUUUUGAAUUGAUGUUUGUUUGAUUUUUGUCAAAUCCAACACCACCGCUACUUCUUCUCUCCUCUUCCUCCGGCUUCGUCCUCUCCACACCACCGAUGCUUCUCUCCUCUUCCUCUGGCCUCGUCCUCUGUUCUCUCGCCUCCGUCGUCUCAGAUGACAUCAAAAACAAAGCGACUACAGACAGCCAACUACCAUGCCAGUGUGACACAAGAUUCAUCUCACACACAGCCCAGUUUCAGGCCAACUACCAUGCCGCCGGGAGCUACCAUGCCACCAGGCGCUACUGGUGUAUCUUCUAAUGGUCCUACCAUGCCACCAGGAGCUACUGGCUUGUCUUCUAAUGGUGCUACCAUGCCCCCGAGAGCUAACAUGCCACCAGGAGCUACUGAUGGAGCUAACUGUAUCCCAACUUGAAGCUGUUGAUGGAGCUGCUGAUGGAUCGCCACUUCCUUCUCACACUCAUCUCAUCAACCAAACAUUUUUGGAGAAAGCAUCAUUGCUUAAUGUCAGUAAUCAAAGUUGUGAACUUCUCACGCCAGAGUUAUGGGUUUGUGUUGUUUUGCUUAUGGGACUACCCAAAGCUCUGAUGAUAAUGAUAAUGCAGUUCUACUUGGUCUUUAGGAUACAUGUGUGAAGUCAAGUGAUUGCUCAUGUUGGAGAUAAAUUUGCAGGAUGGUCACUUGGAGGCAACAUUCUUGUUAACUGUUUGGGUCAGGUUCUGAGAUAGAUUCCGUUAUGGUUUUAUUUUGUAUUCAUUACACGGGAACUUUGUUGGACGGGACAAAGUUUGAUUCAAGCCGUGACAGAGGAACUCCUCUCAAAUUUACUCUUGUCCAAGGCUGGAAGCUCUAGCCUGUGGUCACUUUUGAGGCUGGUUUUGUGUGAGGAUUUGUGGUUAUUUGUUCAUGUUGAGGCUCAUGUUGGAGAUAAAUUUGCAGGAUGGUCUCUAGGAGCCAAUAAUUUUUUUUAACUAUUUGGGUCAGAUAAUGGAUGCAAAAGGAGAGAACUCAUUAGCAUUGUUUCCAGCUAACUUUCGUGAGAGCAUGUGGACCAGACGAGGAAAGGAAAAGUCACAAGAGUUUGGUAGCAAAGUUACAUCUAUUGUCUCUAAAGUUCUCUUCUUUGAGCAAGUCUGUCUCCUUCAAAAGUCUCCGGAAUGGUAUAUAUAUAUAUAUAAGCUUCUGAGGAUAUGCUUGAAGAUGAUGUAGCUUCAAACAAAGCAAUAGGACCCUUUGGUUCGAACAUGUUGAGAACUUGAUCAGUUUAGGACAUGACUUUGUGUUUUUUUUAUGGCUUGGUUUGAUGGUUACAUCUUCUCUUCUAGAGUUCAUGCUUGUGAUGUGUUCACUUUGUAUGAUUUGGAUCUUUUAUGAAAAAGCAUUGGUAUUUUAUGAUUGUU